GAGCCUGCUUGGGAUUCUCUCUCCCUCUCUCUUCCCCUCCUGCACACACACACACACUCUCUCUCUCAAAAUAAAUAAAUAAACCUUAAUAAAAGUAAAGCAGAUUGGAAAGUACACUGAGAGGAAGCCACUUCUGAGUGCUUAGAAUGAAGUGGGCCACCUGGCUGGCUCAGUCAAUUGACCAUCCAACUCUUGAUUUCAGCUCAGGUUGUGAUCCCAGGGUUGUGGGAUCGAGCCCUGCACCGGGCUCCACUCUGAGCAUGGAACUUGCUUGAGAUUCUCUCUCUCCCUCUGCCUCCCCCUCCCCUGCUCAUGCAUUCACAUUCUUUCUGUCUGUCUCUGUCUCUCUCUCUCUCUCUCUCUCUCAAAUUAAAAAAAAAAAAUUUUUUUUAGAGUGAAUUAAAUAUGUAGUUCACUGCUAUGUACUUUGAAAUCGCCUUUUUGUUUUCUUUUUUUCUUUGGAAUGAAGCUCCUUUCAUAAGGAAGCUAAAUAUGGGAAAUGGGCAAGCAGAUACAACUGUAGUCAUCUGGAGAAUCAAUGUGGGUCUAGCUUUUUAGUAUCAGUACAUUAUUCCCUGUAAGCUGUGUGACCAUGUAAAGUCCAUGUAAAGAAAAUAGCUUUGAGAUCACCUUCUAUUUGUCUGUACACUGUUGACAGAAAAUAAAUCGUACUGAUCCUCAGCAAAAUUGAAAAACAGUGAAUUCUGUUUUAUCAGCACAGUCCCCCUCCUGCUUCCCUGCCAUUUUGGGUUUUUUUUUCCUUUUCUCUUUCUCUUCUACCUCUCCUUUGCCCUCGGGUGACUGUUUUCUGCCUUUCUCUGGCCCCACUUGGCAUGUCCACACAGAAAAUGCUCUAGUAUCGUUUACACAGUUGUCUUUCCCUUCAGCCUUCCCUUUUUAAAACAUGUAGAUGGCAAAAUAUCAGGUGACUCAUCUUCUUCUAGAGCUGGGAAAUUCCUUUUUUCUAACUUAAUAUGAAUAUUACUUCGGUUAUUAUCCCAAGAUAAAUGUAGAUCAAACCAUGCCACCCUUCACACCUUCCAGGCUUAGCCUUCUAUAAACUGUAAUUGCUCCUCACCUACUAUUAGUCUGCUGGGACACUUUUACUCAUUGAAAUAGCUGUUUGUUUUCUAAAUUCCAUUUUUAAAAAGCACAUAUCUGCUAGUCAGGGGUCUUGGUGAUGAAAGUAGAGUGAGGUUGAAAGUGUGGGAUGGGCAGAAUAGCUUUCAUGUUAAUCACCUCAUUACUUUUUGUGAAGAUGAUGGCUGAAUGGUUUCUUCUUAGGGUUGGUUGUUAGCAGGUAACUACACACCUGUGAUUUUACACAUGGUGAUACACACAUUCAUGUAACGAGAGCCACCCAAAAGUUACAGGAAUUCUAUACAUGAAGAGCAAAUGGGCAAGAAAAAUUUUUUAACUUUCAUUAUUUUAUUAGAAAUGCUUUCCUUUUAAAAGUGCUUAGCCAGAAAUGAAUUCUGGAUAAUAUAUAUGUAUGGUAUCCAAGUGUAUAAUUUUCCUUUGUUGCUUACUGAUACCGUGCUUUCUGUAUUUCUUACUCUGGCAAUUCACCAGAUGACAUAGUAGGGGGAACGCAGAGAAGAGGUAAAACUCAGUGAUUCCCACCAAGACAAAGGGUCCCACCUUGUCCACUGCAAGGAGGAAAAUACGUAUCAUCUGGUAGGAUAUAUUUGGCAUUCCUUUUAUAGGAAUGAGAGGUUAUGUGUAAAAUAGCAAGAUAGGGUUUGUCACCCCCGAGAUCUACCUGGCAUGUGAGGACCCUCGUUGCCAGGUGUGUGUCAUGGCAGCCUCACCCUCCUGGCUGCCAUCUGGAAUCACAUCUAAGAACUAUCAAUGACCCUUACAUAUACCUCGAGCAGUUCUGUCUUUGGAUACAUGUUUAUGAAGGAGGCUCUUCUAUAAGCACAAUUUUCUUUUCCAAGAAAGUGUUUCCAUUUUUAUAUAAAAUAAGUUCUUCUGUGCAAGAAGAACAGGUAAGCAUUACUUGUUUUGAAAUGUUUGACUUGUGUUCUUAUUCACUGGUAUUAAAAUAGUCCAUUGGUAUCUUAAAAACUAGAAAUAAGAAACAAUGUUACACGCAGUUUUCCAAUUAGAUAUGGGUAGUACACUUUGUUAGACUGGUUUUUGUCUGAUUCUUUUAAAGUUCUUGGUGGAAGACAUCAUAUGUAUUGCAGAUUGCCCGAAUUCCAGAAGAUAUUUUACCAUUAGAUUGCAGCUUUCUUAAAACUUAUUCAAGACCUAGAAAUUGGUAAUUUGUCUCAUUAGGUUUGCAAAACAAGUUUGGGAGAAUGCUAUCAUAACCUAAACAUACAGAAUAAAUAUACAUUCUUUUUUACUGAGAUAUAAUUGACAUAUGAUGUUAUGUUAGUCUCAGAUGUACAACAUAAUGAUUUGACAUUUAUAUACAUUACAAAAGAUUACCACAGAAGUAGUUACCAUCCGUCACCAUAAAAAGUUAUUACAAUAUUAUCGCCUAUAUUCCCUAUGCUGUACUUUACAUCUCUGUGACAUAUUUAUUUUAUAACUGGAUUUUGUGCCUCUUAAUCCCUUUCACCUGAUCUGCCCAUUCCUCCACCUCCUUGGCAAUCACGUUUGUUCUCUGUAAGUCUGUUUCUGUUGUUUUGUUUGUUCAUUUGUUUUUUAGAUUCCAGAUGUAAGCAAAAUCAUAUGGUGUUUGUCUUUCUCUAUCUGAAUUAUUUUACUUAGCAUAAUGCCCUCUAGGUCCAUCCAUGUUAUCGCAAAUGGCUGAGUAAUGUGCCAUUACAAUAAUGUUCCAUUGUUUUGUGCUUUCAGCUCUCACAUUUAGGUCUUGAGUCCAUACUUUGUGUAUUUUUGCACAUGGUAUGGGAAAGUAGUCAAGUUUCAUUCAUUUACAUGCAGCAGUUCAGCUUUUCCAACACCAUUUAUUGAAGAGACUGUUUUUUCCCCAUUGUAUAUUCUUGCCUCCUUUGUCAUAGAUUAAUUGACCAUUAAAGCAUGGAUUUAUUUUGGGCUCUUCUUAUGCUCCACUGAUCUGUAUGUCUCCUUUUGUGCUGAUACCAUAUCGUUGAUUACUGUAGCUUUGUAAUGUAGUUUGAAAUUGGGAACAUGAUACCUCAGCUCUGGUGUUCCUUCUCAAGAUUGCUUUGACUAUUGGGGAUCUUUUGUGGUUCCGUACAAAUGUUAGGAUUAUUUUUCUAAUUCUGUGAAAAAUGCUAUUGGUAUUUUUAUGGAGAUGGCAUUGAAUCUGUAGAUUGCUUUGGACAGUAGGGACAUUUUAACCAUAUUAUUCCAAUUCAUGAGCAUGGUACAUCUUUCCAUUUCUUUGUGGCAUCUUCAAUUUUUUUCAUCAGUGUCUUAUAGGUUUUCAGAGUACAGAUUUUCCAACUCCUUUGUUACAUUUAUUCCUAGGUAUUUUCUUUUCGAUGCAAUUAUAAAUGGGAUUAUUUUAUUAAUUUCUCUUUCUGGUAAUUACUAGUAUAUAGAAGUACAACAUAUCUGUAUGUUAAUUUUGUAUCCUGCAACUUUGCUGAGUUCAUUUGUAGUUCUAAUAGUUUUUUGGUAGAGUCUAUAGGGUUUUCUUUAUAUAUAGGAUUAUGACAUCUGCAAGUAGUGACAGUUUACUUAUUCCUUCACAAUCUAGAUGCCUUUUAUUUCUUUUUCUUUUCUGAUUGCUGUGUUUUGUACUUCCAGUACAGUGUUGAAUAAAAGUGUCAAGAAUGGGCAUCCUUGUUUUGUUCUUAGAAGGAAAGCGUUCAGCUUGUCACCAUUGAGAAUGAUGUUACCUGUGGGUUUGUCAUAUGUGGCCUUUUUUAUAUUGAGAUAUGUUCCCUCUGUACCCACUUUUUUGAGAGUUUUUAUCAUAAAUGGAUGUUGAAUUUUGUCAAAUGGUUUUCCUACAUCUAUUGAGAUGAUCAUAUGCUUUUUAUCCUUCAUUUUGUUAAGGUAGUAUAUCCUGUUGAUACAUUUGCAAAUGUGGAACCAUCCUUAUAUUCCUGGAAUAAAUCCCACAUGAACAUGGUGUUUGAUCCUUUCACUAUAUUGUAGAAUUUGGUUUGGUCAUAUUUGGUUAAGUAUUUUUGUAAAUAUGUUCAUCAAGAAUAUUGGACUGUAAUUUCUUUUUUUGUACAAAGUGUCUUUGUCUACUUUUGGUGUCGGGGUAAUGUUGGCCUUGUAGAAUGAAUACAGAAACAAUCCUUCCUCUUUAAUUUUUUGAAAUACUUUGAGAAGGAUAGGUACUUACUCUCAGUGUUUGGUAGAACCCACCCGUGAGAAGCCAUUUGGUCUUGGACUUUUGUUAGUUGGGAGUUUUUUGAUUACUGAUUCAUUUCAUUGCUAGUAAUUGGUCUGUUCAAAUUUCCUGUUUCUUUGUGAUUCAAUCUUAGAAGAUUAUGUAUGUAGGAAUUUAUCCAUUUCUUCUAGGUUGUCCAGUCUGUUGGCAUCUACUUGUCUCUUACCAGCUGUAUUUUUAUGGUGUCUUUUGUAUCUUCUCCUCUUUCAUUUCUGAUGUUACUUACUUGAAUCCUGCCUCUUUUUCUCUUGAUGAGCCUGUCUAAAGGUUUAUCAACUUUAUCUUUUCAAAGAAUCAGCUCUUAGUUUUAUUAAUCUUUUCUAUUAUUUUUUAAGUCCUAUUUCAUUUAUUUCUACUCUUUAUUAUUUCCUUCCUUCUACUAACUUUGGGCACUGUUUGUUCCUCUUUUUUCUCAUUCCCUUAAGUGUAAGCUUAGAUUGUUUAUUUCACAUUUUUCUUAAUGAUUUGGUAGGCUUUAUCACUAUAAACUGCUUCUGCAGGGCACCUGGGUGGCUCAGUCAGUUAAGCAUCCAACUCUUGAUAUCAGCUCAGGUCAUGAUCUCUCAGUUUGUGAGUUUGAGCCCUGCAUUGGGCUCUGCAUUGAUGGUGUGGAGCCUUCUUGAAAUUCUGUUUCUGUCUCUAUCUCUGCCUCUCUCUCUCUCUUCUCCCCCCUCACUCUCCGUCUCUCUCACACUCUCUCUCUCCCUCUCAAUAAAUAAAUAAACUUAAAAAAAAACAUUUUUGCUGUGCAUCUUCUAUUUUGGAACAUUAUAUUUUAAUUUUCAUUUGACUCAAUUUAGUUGUUUGAAUUCCUCUUUCAUUUCUCCAUUGACGUCUUGGUUGUUUAUUGGCAUGUUGUUUAGCAUCCACAUGUUUGUGUUUUUUCCAGUAUUUUUUUUCUUGUAAUUGAUCUAGUUUCAUACUGUUGUGGUUGGAAAAGAUGCUUGAUGUAAUUUCAGUUUUAAAUUUAUUGAGACUUGUUUUGUGGCCUAACAUGUGAUCUCUCCUGGAGAAUACAAUGUUUCAUGUGCGUCUCCAGAGAAUGUGUAUUCUUUUUUAAUUUUUUGUUUUUUGUUUUUGCUGUUCAGUUUGGAUGAUUUCCACUACCCUGAAAUCCCAGAUCACUGAUCUGUGCUUCUGCAUCAUCUCAUCUGCUGUUGAUUCCCUCUACUGUGUUUUUCAUUUUAGUUAAUGUAUUCUUCAGCUCUGAUGCAUUCUUUUUUAUAUUUCUUAUCUCUGCUGAAGUUCUCACUGAGUUUAUCUACUCUUCUCAAGUCUGGAGAGCAUCCUUAUGACCAUUACUUUGAACUCUUCAUAAGGUAGAUUGCUUAUUUCCAUUUCAUUUAGUUUUUUUUUUUUUUUUUUUUUUUUUUUUUUAGGUUUUGUCUUGUUCUUUCAUUUGCAACAUGUUCCUCUGUCUCCUCCUUUCCCUGCCUAUUUUUGUUUGUAUAUAUUAGGUAGAUCAGCUGUGUCUCUGGGUCUUGAACAUGUAACCUUAUAUAGAAGGCAUCCUGUGAGGCAUAAACCCCACCCCACCCCCUGGUAACUAUACCCAGGCACUCCAGGGAUUUCCCCUGUGUGGGCUGCAUGUGCCCUCCUUUGUGGCUGGAUCACAACUUAUGUGGGCACACUGGUACCACUUUUGUGGGGUUCCAGUCCCAGCUGAGGCGACUCAGUGUGGUGGGACAGUAGCCACUUUUGGGGGGACAGGCACCAGUCUCAGUUGAGGCUCUCUGCUGAGUGCAACAGGAGAGGAACCACUUUGGAAGGGUAUCCCCCAGGAAGGGAAGGUUGGGUUGGACAGGUCCACAGGUUGACAUCUGGUCAGGGUAAGCAGUGCUAGAAAGGUAAAUGGAUAGUGUCAGAACUGGUGCCCGCCAGCAUCAGCCCAGCGAGGCAGAAGGAAGGCAAGAAAAAUGGUGCCAUUCAGUGCUUCCUUCCUGGAGAAAGUUCCUACAGAGCCCUGACCCUACUGCACAAGCCCUAAAAUUAGUGAGUGAAUCUCCUUCAGUUAUGGCUUAGGUGCUGUUUAGACUAUUGCUUCUGUUCUGGUCUCAGCCAAGUGAGUUUAUAUGCAGGCCUUUUAAGAGUGGAAUCUUGGCUUCCCACAGCCCGCCAGCUCUCCUGGAGUUUAGCUUCACUGAUUUUCAAGGCUUCUGGACAUAAGGCAUGCUGAUUUCCAAAGCCAGAUGUUAUAGAGGCUUUUCUUCCUGGUACAGAUCCCCAGGGCAGUGGGUACCUGAUGUGGGGCUCAAACCCUUCACUUCUCAGGGAGGAUCUCUAUACCUGUGAUAUCCCUCCUGCUUGUGGGUUAUCAAGCUGGGCGUGUGGACCCUGACCAAAUCACAUCUCUGCUUUCUUGAUGUGACUUUUUCUUUACAUCUUUAGCUGUGGAAGAGCUAUUCUGCUAGUCCCCAGAUUGUUCUCAGUAAGAGUUACUCCAUAUGUACUUCAGUUUUGGUGUGUGGCCAUUGCUUGACAUGAGCUCAGAAUCCUCCUACUCUGCCAUUUUCAGCAAUUCCCACCCACUUUUUUAAAUUGAGGUAUAAUUGACAUACAACAUUAUAUUAGCUUUAGGUGUACAAUGUGAGGAUUUAAUAUAUGUAUAUAUUUAAAACAAUCACAAAAAAUCUAACAUCCAUCACUAUACAUGGUUACAUUUUUUUUGUGAGAACUCUUUAAGAUCUAUUCUCUCAACAACUUUCAAAUAUGUAAUACAGUAUUAUUAAUUACAGUCACCAUGCUGUACGUUACAUUCCCCAGACUUAUUUUAUAACUAGAAAUUUGUACCUUUUGACCCUUUUCACUCAUUCUGUCAACACCCCCAACUCUUGCCUCUGACAACCACCAAUUUGUUCUCUGUAUCUAUGAGCUUGGUUUUUUUGUUUGUUAAAGAUUCCACAUAAUAGUUAGAUCAUGGCAUUUUUCUUUCUCUGUCUGACUUAUUUCACUUAGCAUAAUGACCUCAAAACUCAUCCAUGUAGUUGUAAGUGGCAAGAUUUCCUUCAUUUUUAUGGCUGAAUAAUAUUCCAUCGUAUAUGUAUACCAUAUCCUCUUUGUCCAUUCAUCUGUCUAUGGACCCUUAGGUUGCUUCCAUUGGAAAUAAUGCUGCGCUGAGCAGAGGAGUGCGUAUAUCUUUUCGACUUAGUGUUUUCUUUUCUUUGGGUAAAUAGAGGUCAGAUUGCUGGAUGAUAUGUUAGUUCUCGUUUUAAAUUUUCGAGGAGCCUCCAUUCUGUUUUCCAUAGUGGCUGCACCAAUUUACAUUCCUACCAAUAGUGCAUUUUUCUCCACAUCCUCACUAACACUUGCUGUUUUUUGUCUUCUUGAUAAUAACCAUUCUGACAGGUGUAGAGUGGUAUCUCAUUUAUGGUUUUGAUUUGUAUUUCCCUGAUGGCUAGUGAUGUUGAGCAUCUUUUCAUCCGGCUCUUGGCCAUCUGUAUAUCUUCUUUGGAAAAAUGUCUACUCGUAUCCUCUGCCUAUAUUUAAACUGGGUUGUUUGUUUGAACUUACAUUGUGAAAUAUCUAUGUAUAUAUCCAAGGAAAAGUGGGUUGUUACAGCAAUAAUAACAGGAAUAUAGCUCACUUCUUCACAAAUGGUUCUAAACCAGAUGGGCUCCUGUUUGUAUCAGUAUAGUGUUAUCAGGAUUCAAAUACAUUUUAACAUUUAAUUUCUUAAAAAAUAAAAGAUUUGAAAAAGUUUUUUUUGUUUAAGGUGCUAUGUCAGGUUUUUUAAAAAGAAUCUCUUUUGGUCUCCUGCAUCUUUUCCAGUGUUUCUCAUGCAAAUAUUGUUCAAUUAAUUUAUAUUUUUCCUUAGCUAUGGGCUUCUUUUGACAAUUGUGUAGGCAGUUUUGGGUAAUGAAGUUAGCCCAGUGGACCUUUAAAAUUCUCCAUAAAUGUUAUUACUAUAAAUAUGCAAUGUGAGAAUAGUUAAGUCUUUUGUAGAUUUUUUAAAGAAUGAUAGUUUCUUUAGAGAGAUGGUUUCUUUAGAAUAAUCUUUAUGUUACUGUCUAAAUUCUGGCAGCAAUUUUUGAGCUCCUAACUCUUUAAAACGUACAGUUUUAUAUCACGUGUCCUAAUAGAGGAAAUGCACAAAACUUUGAGAAAUAUAAUAGAAGGUAUAAAAAAUGGAGAGUUACAUCUUGGAAGACAGACUAACCAUUAUAACAAUGCUAGUAUUUCCAGAUUCCAUGUCUAUACUCAAGUGACUCCAGUUGUCAAAAGGGUGGAAGUUGAGGGUGAGAUAGUCCUCACAGCAGGUAGCAGCUCUUUCAGAAAACUUAGCUUAGGGGAAGAGACAGGGUGGCAGCUGGAGGGAGCCAAGAGAGUCAAGUAUUCUUUGUUGUUUGAAAGAUAAAAUCUAGAGCAUGUCCUGAGUGCUGAUGCUUAUUGGAGCACUAGAAGGAGGGACUGAGGAGGGAUAUUUUGAUUCAGGGGGAAGGAGGAGGCAUGGGGGGUGGUGUUGGUAGGUGGCACAGUUUCUGAGACACUCUGGAGGGGUGGAGGGAUUGGCUUUGGAAAGAAAAGGAAAUGAGGGCUUGUAUUUUUUCUGUGAAGUAUGAGGCUGUUGAGAAUAAAGGGGGGGGAAAUUUGAGAAGAAUAGAGAAAGCUUGAAAAUAGGCAUUUAAAGAGAUAAAGAGUGGCACCUGGGUAUCUCGGUUGGGCAUCCAACUUUGGGUCAGGUCACCAUCCCCACAUCGGGCUUGCUGCUGUCAUUGCAGAGCCAGCUUUGGGUCCUCUACCCACCUCAAUUUCCCCUUCCCCCACUUGCGUGCAUGCUCUCUCGCUCUCUCUCUCUCUC